GAAUUUUAACAGCUGAUGAAUUUAGUAGAGGAUUGGUAGUUCAAAUAUUUUAUAAUCGGAUAAUUUGUAAUGUUAUUAUCACAAUUGAUGAAUUCCAUUUGAAAAGGAACAACAAUUAUCCUGAUCUACAAUUCAGGAGGAAAGCUUUACUUGCUUCCCAUGCAAGACAAAAACUAGAGAAGUAAUAGAGGAGUGCAGUAGAUUGUCUUCCAAACAUAUUUAUGCUUUUGAAUUUCCUGACUCUGUUUUAUCACGAAAAUAUUGUCAACUUGUUCGUGAAAAUUUGAGAGCCAUCAGAUUUUGUUCUACAUCUUCUUUUUGGCAGCAUCCCGGAUUGCGAGCUCAUGUUCUAGAGUGUUCCAGAUUGAAGUUCUGAA